CCUUCUGCAAGAAGAGCAUUUCAGGGUAUCGAGUUCCUCAUCCUUCAAGGAAUUACGCUGCUUAACAGACACAUUUGUUCCUCACUGUAAUGUUAUUGUACAGUUUUACAUACUGAUUAUUUUCUGUCUUAAAAUUAGGCUUUUAUUUGUAUGUUAGUGGUCUGCAUUUGAUAUCUUUUCUGUGGCUGGGGUAAGAAAUGUACGUCUAGCUUUUAUAAUGCAGCCAAUUUUCUUCUCAGGUUUCAGAUCAAAUGCUCUUUGCUGUAGGGCUGAAACUCAUCUAAAUUAUUAAUGAAAGUUUUUAACGGUAAGGAAAUUGGCAUAAUUUAAGUAUCGGGAAUAAUACGUGUAAAUUGGCAAGCUUUAUGUUAGAAAGUAUCUUCCUCCUAAUCAGGAUGUGGGUAAAUAUGCAAAGACAAAUGAGCGGCCCAACAAAAAUCUCUGCUGUUUUUCUAGGCAAACAGUUCAGCAGUCAAAUGGAAAUUCUUUUGUUAAAUAGAAUUCAGGGCAGGUUGCUGUAGCUGCUGGGGGGUUUAUGCUGACAAGGAUCAACAUGGGUAGUUUAUUUGCAAUUUGUAUUCUAAUUUUUCUAAAUUCCUGAAUAAUUCUAAUGUGAUUCAGAUGUGUAAGGCAAUUAAAUGUGACACAGCUAGAUAGCACGGUCUGGGUAAAAUAAGCCCUACAGUCUUUGUAAGAUUUAGUGUGUGGGAUGUCCCUAGGAUGGCUAGAGGCAUGAAUUGAAUGUACUGUAAAUAAACUAUGGCAUGAAAACUUUCGCUAGUGCCCGGAGAGGAGAGAAAAUGCUGAAUGUCUAAAUGGUAACAUCUGAAUGCAGUUGGUAACUCCUGCCUGACAGGCGUAGGGCUGGAGCAGAGGAAAAUUGGUUAAUUCAGCCAGCACAGUGAGGGAGAAGCCUGACUCUGACACCACCACUAAUUAGGAAAAAUUUUGAGAGUUCCAGGUCUUGCCUUCCUCACUUCAGGCUGUUGUGGACUCUGAAAGCACUGGUUGUCUGGUGGCACAACAGAGCCCUCCUGAAGUCACAGCGCACCACAGGGAGUCUGGAGAGACCAAGUGGAGAAAAGUGGGCAGUUGGUUUUAAAUACCUCCAAUGACAUACUCCAAAAAUCUUCCCUAUGACAGGACUUUUUGGAUGAUUUUCUCCCAUUGUGAAAACUGAAGGUCUAUUUACAACAGGUCAGAUUCUGCCGUAAGAAGAAGUUGGCCUUCGGAGACUUUAUUCUAUGCAUUUUUUUAUGGACUUCGUGGAAUUAUUUGUGGCAUGACCUGCCACUCACACUCACUGCGAGCAAGUAUGGGAGCACAAAAACCACAAGGCUGAUGAGAAGCUCUCCUACACCCAGGGGACGCGGGCUGACAGCCAGUGCUCUGGAGCUCACAGGGAAAGAGAGACUCCUUUAGAAAGCAGUCUAAACUAGGAACUUUACUUGUUAACUUGCUGCACCGAUGCCACCCACAGCAAUUCCAUGUUCUGUUGUCCAGGGUAUGUUUUAAUGAAGGAAAAAACUCACCUCAAAAUAUCUCCACUGGUGUCUUUUAUUAAGUAAUGCAAAAUACAUUAUUAAUUAUGACACUGCAUGCAUUUUAGACAAUAUAAAUGCAAGCCUACAGAAAAUGUGACAAAGAAACCCUCAAUUACUUUUGAGGUAGUAUACAAGGAAAAAUAGGAAAGCAGAAACACAGUGGAUUAAAAGAACAAAAUAUUAGUAUCACUUUGUGCAUACAUUAGUCACUCAUA